rnacentral:lncRNA from 1 species
AGGGGAGGUGUUAGAAUUUUCUAUAUGGCUUAGCUCUCCUUCACUUGAUAUGUCAUCUUUGACUUCUUCAUAACAGGAACCCGGACAUUCUCUAAGAGAACCAUUAUUGCGAGGAUUUGAAUUAUCCCUGCUUGAAGGUCUCUUAUGGAACCAGAAGUCUAAACCAUCAGUAUCUGAAAGAUUUAAGGUCGGAAUUCCUUCCUCCCUUAGAGAAUUUUGGGGUAUUGAUGGUUUAGGAUCGAUAGCUAAAGUUUGGAAUUGAAGUGGUUGUGGUCU